UUUAGUCAAUCUUAACUGGCACCAGAAUUCUUCUUAGGAAAAUAGGAAAGUAUUUUUAUGAUAAUAAUAAUAUAUCUUUUUGAGGCAGAGGAUAAAACCCAAGAGCCGUAUUUGAGUAAAAUUUCCUUUCAUGAAACAGAAAGUGGAGGUAAGGAGAAAACAGGAAGACAUAAACUGGGAAGAGAAGAACCAGCAAGCUGUCAGAAAUCUUCCUGACUGUGACUCUGAAGUUUCAUUAACAUUCGCUACACUUGUGAACGCUUUGUAAUGUGAUGCAAGUGACAAAGGGAGAGCUCCACAGCCUCAUCUUCAGGGAUCCUGAAGCUUUUGCUUCCAAUCCCUGGGAAUCCUGAGGCACCAUGCGAAGAAGUUUGGCUACCCUGCUAGAAAGAUCCGAACAGAGUCCCUGGAGGCUGAAGAUGAGGAGAGAGAAAUCCCAGCAGUCGACUCAACCCAGCUAAGGAGCCAGAUGUGAUUGAAACCAUCCCGGAAUCCAUUACAGUGUCUCCACUCAUCUAACUGAUGAUGCAGUAUCUAACAAGGCAACGCGAAAUCCAUGCAAAUCAAUGCAAAAUCAAGGCAAGUGAUCAGAAUGUGAAAUUGAAAAUCUUUCAAAAUAUGUAAGAAAUCAUGAAGUUGAUGAAGGUAAUGUUAAAGAAACCCUUGAAUCAUGGACAAGUCCUCUGACAAAUGAGGAUCUGCAGCUGGAAUAGUUAACAUUCGAAGAAGAAAAAAACUCCAUGCAGAUGAUGGCACAAUAAGCACUUCGAAAGGGAAUGAUUUGAAUGUCAAAAUUUAAGAGAGGCUCUUGGAAAACUGAUGAAGCCCUCAAAUAUUUUUGCAAUAAUGACCCUUUUUAUGACUCGCCCGCAAAAGUCAAAUGUAGAAGGACAUUGUGUCAUGAUACCGUGUAAUUUUUUUUGUUAGAAAAUUAUGCUUCUCAAAAUCAACACUCGAUUCAUCCUUUGUUCUAAUAUUUAACACAUCACUGACCAACUAAAUUUUGUUAAAUGUAAGGUAAAUUAAUUUUAAUGAUUUUCUUACAUUGUUUAAAGAUCAGGUUCCAACCAAAUCUUUUCACUUUUUUAAAAGAUUUUAUUUAUUUG